GAUAGCCCAAUGUAAUAUUAUCAAUAUUUUUGUAGGAUGAACCGAGGCUGCCUAGGAGUCGAGAUCAAGGUCUCUGGAUGCUAAGCUUUUACAUACCUUCAGUGGUUAGGCUGAGAGUCCCGAGUUAAGUAACGUAAAGCGUGACUUCAAUAAUCCCAGAACAUUCGAUCACUUUAGAAUGAAAAAGGAAUUCAUAUUAUAUUAGAGAGAAAACGGACGUCUGGCUUGACCAGGUCCUGGCCAGGACAAACUGCUUUGAUGCAGACACUAUAAGUUUAUUGCUGAAACUGAAUUAUGAAAAAGGGAACUAAUGAAAUGUGAAAAAUUAUGAAGCAAGUGAAGGUUUAGAACACAUAAAAUGAAAGAAGAAAUUACAGAAAGAAAGCACAAUCCUUACUCUUAGUAUGAUUUCAAGAAUCAAGAAUCCCAGAUUGUUUUUGUUUUCUUUUGUCUAUCUUAAGCAAUGUUGCCUGAUGACUGAUAUUCUUUACUUUGCUGCAUGUAAUUUUAAAGUAGCUGUUGUAAAUUUGACAAUCUAGUGUUAUUUUCUUUAUUUGCACAUUUGCACAAUAGAGACAUUGAGGUUAAUUUUACCUAAAUUUAUCUUGCGUAACGCAAGACAAACGGUUCAAAUUCAAAAGGUUCAAAUAAAAAGUGUUUGUCGAAUUGUUGAAACCAAGUUAAAACAAACGUCAAUCAUAUUGCGAUUUGUUUACUUCUGCUCGUUCCUCUUUUUACUAUCUUUGACUAAAUACUAAUUAAAUUGUCAAUGAACCUGUGGUGUGCUGCAGCUACAUGUGUCUAAUUUUUACCAUUGCAAUCAUAGUAAUCACCUGCUCAAGUACCUUUCUACUUACUUUAUCAUUCGUAACAUUGCAAGAAUCCAAUUGAUUCCAGCCAAAGAAUGGACCAGUCCGCCCAAAAUACAGAAGAUGAAUUCCCAUGGGAAAAGGAUGGUGUGAUCUUUAUUGAUGAAACCGGAGAAUCAUUAGCUUUUGUUUGUUUCUGAAAGACUUCGAGCAGAUCAAGAAGACCGAAAAAGUGAUAGAGGAUCGCCUCGGUGUUGUAAAGAAAAGAAAAGAAAUUGGUAACCAUGAAGUAGUGCUUGUAGAGGACAAUUGCCUCAAAUGGCAGUACCCAGGAGACGGAUACAAAGACGUGUUCAAAGUCAGUUAUAUUGAGGACUGCAUAAAGAACAAAAAACUUCUGAAUAUUUCUGAUUACAGGCACAAUGUUGAUUCAGAUCUUCGAGAUGACUUUAAUUAUAUGGAUAUUUUUUAUGGAAAAUUAUUUACGUGGAAUUCCAUACCAGAAAAGUACAAGAAACCCGAACAAUCUGCUGAAAGGAGCGCAGCUGAUAGAUUGCUAAUGGAUAGCAGUGAUGAUGAAGGUAGCGUCAGGGAGUAUACAGAGACUGCGAUAAGAGGUAUGUAUUUUAUAAAUGGAUUAACUCAGAAACCUCUUUUGUAACGUUUUAGCCUUUUCAUCGUUCAAUCUUCAUAGUUUUUAGUC
rnacentral:lncRNA from 1 species